rnacentral:rRNA from 1 species
ACGAACGCUGGCGGCGUGCUUAACACAUGCAAGUCGAACGGAAAGGCCCUGCUUUUGUGGGGUGCUCGAGUGGCGAACGGGUGAGUAACACGUGAGUAACCUGCCCUUGACUUUGGGAUAACUUCAGGAAACUGGGGCUAAUACCGGAUAGGAGCUCCUGCUGCAUGGUGGGGGUUGGAAAGUUUCGGCGGUUGGGGAUGGACGCGCGGCUUAUCAGCUUGUUGGUGGGGUAGUGGCUUACCAAGGCUUUGACGGGUAGCCGGCCUGAGAGGGUGACCGGCCACAUUGGGACUGAGAUACGGCCCAGACUCCUACGGGAGGCAGCAGUGGGGAAUAUUGCACAAUGGGCGGAAGCCUGAUGCAGCAACGCCGCGUGCGGGAUGACGGCCUUCGGGUUGUAAACCGCUUUCGCCUGUGACGAAGCGUGAGUGACGGUAAUGGGUAAAGAAGCACCGGCUAACUACGUG